rnacentral:rRNA from 1 species
UCUGGCCUCAAAUCAGGUAGGACUACCCGCUGAACUUAAGCAUAUCAAUAAGCGGAGGAAAAGAAACUAACAAGGAUUCCCCUAGUAACGGCGAGUGAAGCGGGAAGAGCUCAAAUUUGAAAUCUAGUAGCCUUCGGCUGCUCGAGUUGUAAUCUAUAGAAGUGUUUUCCGUGCUGGCUCAUGUACAAGUCCCUUGGAACAGGGCGUCAUAGAGGGUGAGAAUCCCGUACUUGACAUGAAUCACCAGUGCUCUGUGAUACACUUUCAAAGAGUCGAGUUGUUUGGGAAUGCAGCUCAAAAUGGGUGGUAAAUUCCAUCUAAAGCUAAAUAUUGGCGAGAGACCGAUAGCGAACAAGUACCGUGAGGGAAAGAUGAAAAGCACUUUGGAAAGAGAGUUAAACAGUAUGUGAAAUUGUUAAAAGGGAAACGAUUGAAGUCAAUCAUGUCCUUGGGUCUUACCACCCUUGGAUGGGGUCAACAUCAGUUUUGAUCGGUGGAUAAGGAUAGGAGGAAGGUAGCACUCUCGGGUGAACUUAUAGCCUCCUGUCGCAUACACUGGUUGAGACUGAGGUCUGCUAUUACAGGAUGUUGACAUAAUGGCUUUAAACGACCCGUCUUGAAACACGGACC